rnacentral:rRNA from 1 species
UACGUAGGGUGCAAGCGUUGUCCGGAAUUAUUGGGCGUAAAGAGCUCGUAGGCGGUCUGUCGCGUCUGCUGUGAAAAUCCAGGGCUCAACCCUGGACCUGCAGUGGGUACGGGCAGACUAGAGUGCGGUAGGGGAGAUCGGAAUUCCUGGUGUAGCGGUGAAAUGCGCAGAUAUCAGGAGGAACACCGGUGGCGAAGGCGGCUCUCUGGGCCUUUCCUGACGCUGAGACGCGAAAGCGUGGGGAGCGAACCGG